rnacentral:rRNA from 1 species
AUUGAACGCUGGCGGCAGGCCUAACACAUGCAAGUCGAGCGGAGCGGCGGACGGGUGAGUAAUGCCUGGGAAUCUGCCUGGCAGUGGGGGCUAACGUCCGGAAACGGGCGCUAAUACCGCAUACUAUCAGCAGAGCCUAGGUGGGGUUAGCUAGUUGGGGGGGUACAGGCCUACCAAGGCGACGAGCCGUAACUGGUCUGAGAGGAUGAUCCGUCACACUGGAACUGAGACACGGUCCAGACUCCUACGUGAGGCAGCAGUGGGGAAUAUUGGACAAUGGGCGAAAGCCUGAUCCAGCCAUGCCGCGUGUGUGAAGAAGGUCUUCGGAUUGUAAAGCACUUUAAGUUGGGAGGCGUUACCAACAGAAUAAGCACCGGCUAACUUCGUGCCAGCAGCCGCGGUAAUUC